AUUGAACGCUGGCGGCAGGCCUAACACAUGCAAGUCGAACGAGUGGCGGACGGGUGAGUAAUGUCUGGGAAACUGCCCGAUGGAGGGGGAUAACUACUGGAAACGGUAGCUAAUACCGCAUACCAUCGGAUGUGCCCAGAUGGGAUUAUCUAGUAGGUGGGGUAACGGCUCACCUAGGCGACGAGCCCUAGCUGGUCUGAGAGGAUGACCAGCCACACUGGAACUGCGCCACGUGCCAGACUCCUCGGGGAGGCCGCAGUGGGGAUUAUUGCACACUGGGCGCAAGCCUGAUGCAGCCAUGCCGCGUGUAUGAAGAAGGCCUUCGGGUUGUAAAGUACUUUCAGCGAGGAGGCGUUACUCGCAGAAGAAGCCCCGGCUAACUCCGUGCCAGCAGCCGCGGUAAUAC
rnacentral:rRNA from 1 species